UGGGGAGUAUUGGACAAUGGGGGAAACCCUGAUCCAGCCAUGCCGCGUGAGUGAUGAAGGCCUUCGGGUUGUAAAGCUCUUUUAGCGGGGAAGAUAAUGACGGUACCCGCAGAAUAAGCCCCGGCUAACUUCGUGCCAGCAGCCGCGGUAAGACGAAGGGGGCUAGCGUUGUUCGGAAUUACUGGGCGUAAAGGGCGCGCAGGCGGCUUUGCAAGUCAGGCGUUAAAGACCCAGGCUCAACCUGGGGAAUGCGCUUGAUACUGCGGAGCUUGAGAUCGGAAGAGGAGAGUGGAAUUCCCAGUGUAGAGGUGAAAUUCGUAGAUAUUGGGAAGAACACCAGUGGCGAAGGCGGCUCUCUGGUCCGAUUCUGACGCUGAGGCGCGAAAGCGUGGGGAGCAAACAG
rnacentral:rRNA from 1 species